UAAGUGAGCUACUUUAAAACAGCCUUUAGAGCUAACCCGUCUCUGUCGCAAAAGAGUGGGAUGAUUUUAAAGUAGAGGCGAUAAACCUACCGAACUUAGAAAUAGCUGGUUUUUUAAGAAAAGAAUUUUAGUUCAGCCCCAAGCCUCUCCGUUAAACAAAAACCAUCUUAGGCCUGGGAGUUAUUCAAAUAAGGCACAGCUUAUUUGAAACAGGAUACAACCUAGAAUAUAGGGUAAGACACACGAUAUUUUUAACAAGUGGGCCCAAAAGCAGCCACCUUCUAAAAAGCGUCAAAGCUUAGUAAUAACAGUUUUCCCAAUAACUGCAAUAACUUCUAACCCAUACCCCCUAUUAAAUAACCCCAUAAAUUUAUGGAAGCUAUUAUGCUAGAACAAGUAACAAGAAAAAGAUUUUUCUCCAAAAUGUAAGCUUUAGCCGCAAUAGACAACCUACCGGCAAUUAACGACUCUAAACCAAUUAUAGUAACGCCAGCAAGAAAACUCUAUAAACCCCAUCGUCAACCUCAC
rnacentral:rRNA from 1 species